rnacentral:rRNA from 1 species
UGGGGAAUCUUGGACAAUGGGCGAAAGCCUGAUCCAGCCAUGCCGCGUGAGUGAUGAAGGCCCUAGGGUUGUAAAGCUCUUUCGACGGGGAAGAUAAUGACUGUACCCGUAGAAGAAGCCCCGGCUAACUCCGUGCCAGCAGCCGCGGUGAUACGGAGGGGGCAAGCGUUGUUCGGAAUUACUGGGCGUAAAGCGCGCGUAGGCGGACAAUUAAGUCGGGGGUGAAAGCCCGGGGCCCAACCCCGGAACUGCCUCCGAUACUGGUUGUCUUGAGAUCAGAAGAGGGUCGUGGAAUUCCUAGUGUAGAGGUGAAAUUCAUAGAUAUUAGGAAGAACACCGGUGGCGAAGGCGGCGACCUGGUCUGUAUCUGACGCUGAGGUGCGAAAGCGUGGGGAGCAAACAGGAUUAGAUACCCGCGUAGUCC